CAGGGAUUGCCUCAGUAACGGCGAGUGAAGCGGCAACAGCUCAAAUUUGAAAUCUGGCCUCUUUGGGGUCCGAGUUGUAAUUUGUAGAGGAUGUUUCGGGUACCGCCUCGGUUUAAAUUUCUUGGAACAGAAUGUCAAAGAGGGUGAGAAUCCCGUCUUGGACCGGCGGUAGGGCCCAUGUGAAACUCCUUCGACGAGUCGAGUUGUUUGGGAAUGCAGCUCAAAAUGGGUGGUAAAUUUCAUCUAAAGCUAAAUAUUGGCCAGAGACCGAUAGCGCACAAGUAGAGUGAUCGAAAGAUGAAAAGCACUUUGAAAAGAGAGUUAAACAGUAUGUGAAAUUGUUGAAAGGGAAGCGCUUACAACCAGACUUGCGCGCGGCGGUUCCCCCUUCCUUUUGGUUGGGCUACUCCGUCGUGUCCAGGCCAACAUCGGUUCUGGGGGUCGGUUAAAGACCCUGGGAAUGUAUCUACCCUUCGGGCGUAGACUUAUAGCUCAGGGUGUCAUGCGACCUCCCGGGACCGAGGAACGCGCUUCGGCUCGGA
rnacentral:rRNA from 1 species